ensembl:lncRNA
GCCACAUCCACAGGGCUGGAGCUUUGGGCCUGAGACUCAGGACCUAAAGUUUCCUUUUAGAGUCGGUCCUGGGGAUGCACAUGUGGAUUAAAUUAGAGCAAUAUGUUUUUCUAACAGCAUCUUGGCUGAAAAGCCAAGCAGAUAAAUGGAAACAAACACAGCUUUAUGUGAAUGAAAAGGGGCUGACGAGGCAGCCACUUCUGCCUGAAGCGCCACAGCCAGCAGGGUUGCCCUCCUGGGGUCUCCCCCUCCUCCCGCUUCCCCCUCCAGCCCUGACCCUGGAAGCAUUCACCAGAGGGCUCCUCAAGGCCCCUCACCCAGCCUCUGCCCUGGCUGAACUGGCUUCCUGCCCAUCUCCAAACCCGAUUUGUGCUGCCCACUCUUGACCACAGUCAUCACCUAUGCUGUGCUCUCUGUGCAGGUUGAUUGUGGCAGAACUGAGUUAAAUGGUAGGACAUCCAGCUGAUGUUGCAGACUUGCUUGCUGUGGGAACCGCCCCAGCCCCCCACCACCCCCACCACACACACACAUCUGGUGACCAGAAGCAUGAGAAGUGUUCCAUGUGAAAGUAAAGAGAAAGACGCAGGAGGAUGAAGGAGCAAGUUUUCUUCUUAAUAGAGAGAGAUUGCUAAGACAAUGACAAUGAAGUGUCUUAAGAAUCUGAAUUUAUAUUAAAAAUGUGAAAGUGCCAAACCUCAAAGCAAGUCCGUGGAGCCUAAAUAAGUGGAAUGGGAGUGGAGAAGAAACACGGAGGCGAGGUUGUGAUGUGGCGUGGCGCAGGAGGCCCUGUGGGCCUGCUCAUCUGGAAUUCUGCAGCGCGGUUGUGUGGGAUCACAACGCUUUCCGGCACUUGUUCAUAUCUUAUUGCCACGGGUGAGACGGGAAGCCAGCAGCAGCAUCCCACACAUUCAAAAGACCUGCAUUGCUGGUGGACGGCUUGGACCGGGUCUCUGUUGAGAAGUCCCAGUCAGGGGGAAGGGCUUAUCGCCCAGCAGGUCCCCCUUUUAUCUCCAUAAAGUGGGGACCCCCUGUCUCAGGGUCCUGCUAAGCACCUCCCUUUCUGGGGCAGUUUUUGUAGCUUGCUUUUCCACCAUCUCUCUCUCUAUAUAUAUAUAUAAAUGUAUAUCGUGGUGAUGCGUCCAGAUCUAGGUUAUUCAUUUUAAUUCCUGAAUAUAUUUCAUCAUAUGACUGUACUACAUUUUUUCAUUGGAAUAUAAUUGCUUUAUAAAGUGUUAGUUUCUGCUGUACAAUAACGUGAAUCAGCUGUGUGUAUACAUGUACUACAUUUUAUUUGUCCAUUGCUAAAUUAAUGAAAGUUUAGGAUAGUCCCGGUUUGGUGCUAAUAGACAAUGCUGCAGGUAACACAUUUUAGAUUUCCAUGUGCACCCAGCCUUGGGCACUCUGGGGAAUGUAGCUAAAAGCAGAACUUGCAGGUGAUGGGUUAGUGCAUCUUCGACUUGCUGAGUUCUUGCCCAAUUCACCUCCAAAUUCUGCCGUGAAGGUACAGUCCCACAGGGAACACAAAACCGGUCCCAUUUCCAACAUCCUUGCCAACAGCUGAUGUCAUCAGAAGAUUGUUACAUUUUGCCAUUCUUAUUUAUGUUGACCUAUUUAAUAGUAAGCUUGAAUAUCUUGUCACAUAUUUAUGGACUUCUUUUUUUCUCACCUAUGAUUUGCCUGAUGAUAUCCUGACGUUUCUAUUAGAUUAUUCAUAUUUUUCUUAUUUAUAACAGUUUGCUAAAUACUCUGGAUAUGAUUUUUGUUGUUGUUGUUAUAGGGGUUGUAAAUAUUUCCUCCAAGCUUGUGGACUGUGGGUUUUCUUUUGACUGGACUGUGGCUUUUUUUGUUUAUUUUGGUUUGGUUUUUAACAUUGCUAGUGGUGUCUUUUUGAUGUGCAGAACUUUAAAAUUUUAAUGUGGUAAAAGUCUCUCUUUCUUUUGUGGUUGGUAAUUUUUCUAUUUUAUUCAAAAAAUCCUUCUGUAACCUCAGUGACAUAAAAAUAUUUUCCUAUAUUUUUCUUAAUUCAAAUGGAUUGAGGCAUAAUUUACACACAAUAAAACGCACCCAUUUGAAGUAUAGUGCCUGCCGCAUUUUGACAAAUGUAUACGACCAUGUUGGAG